rnacentral:rRNA from 1 species
UACGUAGGGGGCUAGCGUUGUCCGGAAUCAUUGGGCGUAAAGAGCGUGUAGGCGGUCCGGUAAGUCCGUUGUGAAAGUCAGGGGCUCAACCCUUGAAUGCCGGCGGAUACUGUCGGGCUAGAGUCCGGAAGAGGCGAGUGGAAUUCCUGGUGUAGCGGUGAAAUGCGCAGAUAUCAGGAGGAACACCAAUGGCGAAGGCAGCUCGCUGGGACGGUACUGACGCUGAGGCGCGAAAGCGUGGGGAGCAAACAGG